rnacentral:rRNA from 1 species
AAUACGGGAUAUUCUGCGCCUGCUGCAUGGUGGGUGUGGGAAAGAUAUUGUUUCGGUGGGGGAUGGGCUCGCGGCCUAUCAGCUUGUUGGUGGGGUGAUGGCCUACCAAGGCGGUGACGGGUAGCCGGCCUGAGAGGGUGGACGGUCACACUGGGACUGAGACACGGCCCAGACUCCUACGGGAGGCAGCAGUGGGGAAUAUUGCACAAUGGGCGCAAGCCUGAUGCAGCGACGCCGCGUGAGGGAUGGAGGCCUUCGGGUUGUAAACCUCUUUCGCCAGUGAAGCAGGCCUGCUCCUUGUGGGUGGGUUGACGGUAGCUGGAUAAGAAGCGCCGGCUAACUACGUGCCAGCAGCCGCGGUAAUACGUAGGGCGCGAGCGUUGUCCGGAAUUAUUGGGCGUAAAGAGCUCGUAGGCGGCUGGUCGCGUCUGUCGUGAAAUCCUCUGGCUUAACUGGGGGCUUGCGGUGGGUACGGGCCGGCUUGAGUGCGGUAGGGGAGACUGGAACUCCUGGUGUAGCGGUGGAAUGCGCAGAUAUCAGGAAGAACACCGGUGGCGAAGGCGGGUCUCUGGGCCGUUACUGACGCUGAGGAGCGAAAGCGUGGGGAGCGAACAGGAUUAGAUACCCUGGUAGUCCACGCUGUAAACGUUGGGCACUAGGUGUGGGGGCCACCCGUGGUUUCUGCGCCGUAGCUAACGCUUUAAGUGCCCCGCCUGGGGAGUACGGCCGCAAGGCUAAAACUCAAAGGAAUUGACGGGGGCCCGCACAAGCGGCGGAGCAUGCGGAUUAAUUCGAUGCAACGCGAAGAACCUUACCAAGGCUUGACAUGUGCCGGUCGGCUCCGGAGACGGGGUUUCCUCCUUGUGGGGCCGGUUCACAGGUGGUGCAUGGUUGUCGUCAGCU